rnacentral:rRNA from 1 species
AUUGACCGCUGGCGGCAGGCCUAACACAUGCAAGUCGAGAGAGCGGAGGACGGGGGAGUAAUGUCUGGGAAAAUGCCCGUUUGAGGGGGAUAACUACUGGAAACGGUAGCUAAUACCGCAUACAAUAAAAUGUGCCCCGAUGGGAUUAGCAAGUAGGUGGGGGUACGGCUAACCUAGGCGACGAACCCUAGCUGGUCUGAGAGGUGGACCAGCCACUCUGGAAAUGAGACACGGUCCAGACUCCUACGUGAGGCAGCAGUUGGGAAUAUUGCACAAUGGGCGCAAGCCUGAUGCAGCCAUGCAGCGUGUGUGAAUAAGGCCUUCGGGUUGUAAAGCUCUUUCAGCGGUGAGGCGUUACCCGCACAGGAAGCACCGGCUAACUCCGUGCCAGCAGCCGCGGUAAUAC